GACGAACGCUGGCGGCGUGGAUUAGGCAUGCAAGUCGAACGGUAUCAUCCUUUCGGGGGUGAGAGAGUGGCGAACUGGUGAGUAACACGUAGGUUAUCUACCCUCAAGACGGGGACAACCCAGGGAAACUUGGGCUAAUACCGGAUGUGAGCAACUUUUAGUUGUUUGAAAGGUGGCGUAAGCUGUCGCUUGGGGAUGAGCCUGCGUCCUAUUAGUUAGUUGGUGAGGUAACGGCUCACCUAGGCAAUGAUAGGUAGGCGGCCUUAACGGGUGGUCGCCCACACUGGGAUUGAGAUACGGCCCAGACUCCUACGGGAGGCAGCAGUCGAGAAUAGUCUACAAUGGUACGGAAGACUGAUAGUGCGACGCCGCGUGAACGAUGAAUCCCCUUGGGGUGUAAAAGUUCUUUUAUAUGUGAGCAGUGCUUCUUAUAUUAACAGUAUGGGGAGAGAGAUAUUAGCAUAUGAAUAAGCAAACGGCUAAACUCCGUGCCAGCAGCCGCGGUAAAUA
rnacentral:rRNA from 1 species